UAUCCCAAGGCGCGUGAGAGAACCCUGGUUAAGGAACUCUGCAAAUUGACACCGUAACUUCGGGAGAAGGUGUGCCGCUGGCGGCUAGUGACUUCGCGUCACGAAGCUGUUGGUGGUCGCAGUGAAAUGGCGGUUGUGACUGUUUACUAAAAACACAGGACUCUGCGAAGUCGUAAGACGACGUAUAGGGUCUGAUGCCUGCCCGGUGCUGGAAGGUUAAGGGGAUAUGUCAGAGCAAUCGAAGCAUUGAACCGAAGCCCCAGUAAACGGCGGCCGUAACUAUAACGGUCCUAAGGUAGCGAAAUUCCUUGUCGGGUAAGUUCCGACCUGCACGAGGGCAUAACAACAUCCGCACUGUCUCGACCAGGGACUCAGCGAAAUUACAUUGGGGGUGAAGAUGCCCUCUACCCGCGGAAAGACGGAAAGACCCCAUGAACCUUUACUGCAACUUGGCAGUGAUUUUCGGGUUGUUCUGCGUAGGAUAGGUGGGAGGCUUUGAAGUCGGGCUUCCGGGUUCGACAGAGCCAACGUUGAAAUACCACCCUGAAUAAUCUGGAAAUCUAACCUGCGCCCAUGAUCUGGGCGAGGGACACUGCCUGGUGGGCAGUUUGACUGGGGCGGUCGCCUCCUAAAUUGUAACGGAGGCGUGCGACGGUUCCCUCAGGCUGAUUGGAAACCAGCCGUAGAGUGCAAACGCAUAAGGGAGCUUUACUGCGAGACUGACAAGUCGAACAGUUGCGAAAGCAGGUGUUAGUGAUCCGGUGGUACCACAUGGAAGGGCCAUCGCUCAUCGGAUAAAAGGUACUCUGGGGAUAACAGGCUGAUCGCGCCUGAGAGUUCACAUCGGCGGCGCGGUUUGGCACCUCGAUGUCGGCUCAUCGCAUCCUGGGGCUGGAGCAGGUCCCAAGGGUUUGGCUGUUCGCCAAUUAAAGCGGUACGCGAGCUGGGUUUAAAACGUCGUGAGACAGUUUGGUCCCUAUCUUCCGUGGGCGCAGGACACUUGAGAGGAGCUAUCCAUAGUACGAGAGGACCUGGAUGGACGAACCUCUGGUGCUCCGGUUGUCACGCCAGUGGCAUAGCCGGGUAGCCAUGUUCGGAACAGAUAACCGCUGAAGGCAUAUAAGCGGGAAGCUGGCCUCAAGACUAGGUGUCCCUGACGCAAGUCACUAAAGGCCCCUCGAAGACUACGAGGUUGAUAGGCUAGGUGUGGAAGCACAGCGAUGUGCGGAGCUAACUAGUACUAAUAGGCCGUGCGACUUGACCU
rnacentral:rRNA from 1 species